UUGAAAGGGAAACGAUUGAAGUGUGUCAUGCCGGGGGAAAAUCACCUCAUGGGACACUAUGAUUGCACUUUUUCUCAUGGCCGGUCAAAAUUAGUUUAUGUUGGGUCAUAAUUAUUGUAGGAAGGUGACUCCUUCGGGAGUGUUGAUCAUACUUAUAAUGGACGGAUUUACACUUCGGAUUGCAACCAAAGCCUUUAGGCUACAGUCCUUUCUCUGUAAGUCGUUAAUUGGUUGUCAGCUUGCUGACUUCUAGUUAAUUGGCUGACAGUAAGGUAUAAACUGAUAAAUUCUUUAAGGAUGU
rnacentral:rRNA from 1 species